AAUGCUAGAAUGAAGGUUGUCUGUGCAGUGCUAUUCAUUGUUGGGUAAAUGGGAAUGCAGAGAUACGAGAGCGAUUGGUCGUGUACAGUGCGUGUAUAGCUAGAUGGAUGGAAGGAUAGAUAAGCAGAUGAAUGGAUAGAUAAGCAGAGGGCGAGGUGGAGGAAUAGGUGUGUAGAUAAGCAGAUAGACAGUUGUAGAUGGAUAGAGUGAAAGUUAUGUAGGUGAACAGAGAGAUAGGUAGACAGUUGUAAAGGCAAUUUGACCUGACUAUAGAAACUAGGGGAAGGAACUUCUGUAGUUGCCUUUCCACUCCUAACAAACCACAAGCUCCUACAAAUAAAAAUCAAUUAUUCUUGAAGCAGCAUCACUGUGCUUAGCACAUAGAAACACUGUGAAGCAGUACCACUUCUGAGCACUAUGUCUAGAAUUCUGGUUCCUUUGGGGCAUUAAUGGGAUGGUAUUUGGAGCUGCUGCCAAAACAUCUCCUACCUGUAUGUACCCUGUUUUCUGCAGUCUCCUCUCUCCAGAUGUCUGACUUAGCUCCUCUAUGACAAACUCCAACAGAAGGCAAUGAUUAAGAGGGCCUGACGUGGAGACGCGGACAGAAGAAUUUCUCUCGGGUUUCUAGAUUCGAUUCGGGCACUUGUCCCAAAUACUAAUUGUACCAGCUGUGGUGGAUUUUUGAAGGAAGGAACGUUUCGUUACAAAACUGUUUCAUUGCUGAAGGUAAACAGAACUGUUGACAUGUUCAUAUUAGCUGACAUUAAACAAAGGCAGAUGCUUCCGGGCAAUCCUUGUGGCAAGUGCCA
rnacentral:lncRNA from 1 species